UGUGGAACAUGAGAUUUGAACAGUCUGGCGGGAAGUGCUCUAGCAGGGACUCUGGCCUAGACAGAGUCCCUGUUUCUGCCUUUCCUUCCUUUUCACCCAAUAAAACCCUGUCUUACUCACCAUUCAAAUUGUCUGCAAGCCUGAAUUUUCAUGGCCAUGGGACAAAGAACACCAUCUUUAGCUGCACUAAGGAAAAGUCCUGCGACAUUUUUGGUGUUCAAUGUGGGAGCUCAAGAAGUGGACAGACUGGUGAGCAGCAGCUCCAUGCCGAUCCCCACACCCUACGCAGUGCUAGGACGCAUGGCUCAAAAGUCCCCCACAGCCAGCUGACUGGUUCCCAGCCACAGACUGCUGCCACAGCCUUCCUCUUCCCUGGCUAACGGGUUUAACUCUUUUGGAC
rnacentral:lncRNA from 10 species